ensembl:snoRNA
CCCUUUUUAAAAGCGCUCGGUGGGCCCUGAUUGGGAGUCACGGAGCCUUCCAGAAAGGGCAGAGGAAAGCACUGCUUUCAGGUGAAGCAGCAGCGUGUUGUGUUGUUUUGCUUGAGUUGGUGUGACCCGG